GUAGUCUCUAAACGUUUAGACUACUAAUAAUUAUAUUGUAUUGUAUAAUUACGAACCAUUUGAAGAAUAGUGAUAUUGUUUCAUUAACAUAACACUUAAAAUAACGGAAAUGAGUAACAGUGACAGGAAUACAAUAGGGCUUUACAAUAGCUUAUUCGUAGAAGUUGUUAAGAGUUAAGAAUACUUUACCUUCGAGAAAGUGGAAGCGACAAGGAAGUUUUAAAGUCUAUUGAGCUGGUAUGAUGAUUCUAAUUUUGAGGAAAUACAUUUCUUAAUUUCGUUGUUAUCUUGCACAAGCCUAUUCAAGACGCCAGUCUCUGCGCUGAAUGCCCUAGUCCAGGCCGCCUACGGCGAAAAAUGGCGUCUACCGUCUACCAGUUGCUAGAUGGUCCCCUCAAGUAAGCUAUUUGUGUUGUCUCCAUCAUCGGACACGCAGAACAUCAACUGGUAAAGGAUUUACACGCCGUGUUUGGCAACCUCGCACUCUCAAAAAGCAAUGUUCUUAGUAUGGUGCAGUCGACAGCUGCAAGGUCAAGAAGAGCUGCUCAGUCCUGUUCAUUUUCAUCUGUGCUUGUCCGUUUGAAAAAAUGCCCAGGGCAGUCAGAACUCAUUGAAAAUAACAGAAACCUGAUGUCUGGCUCCCCGAGCAUAACAGAAAUUUAGGAGUGGAACUCGACUAUUUCAAACAUCUGUAAAGAGUCGGAAUGCACCAUUAAGUGUGUAGUUGAUGCCAUUGGAGAAUGCUACCAGCAAGAUCUUUUCUUUGAAUCCGACCCAACAGCAAAGACGGUCGGGAUGCGUGCGUUAUGUGAGUACGAUUAUAUUGACAGUGUUCUGAGUUGUUAUGCCUACUCUAACAUUGACACCUGUUUCUCCUUGUUGAGAACAGCUAUAAACGAAGCAGUUCAGAAAUACAGCCGCAAUCCUAGUUCAUAUACGCUACGUGUUGAUGGUUGUAGGGCCUACAAUAGUUACAAGUCUUGCAUCAACGUUACAACAAGAAACAACUGCACAUCUGAGAAAGCCUACUUUUUGAAGAACUUUAUCAAAGCAGGUGUUAGUUACGGCAAAUGUGGUGCUCAAACAAACCCCUUCUUCAGUGACUACGCUGGUAAGAUCCAGUGCUCCAACGGGUGGCGGACAACGCCGGGGAAAACCAUAUAUCUGUGGAUCGGUUUUAUUUGCUGUUUAGUUUGGCCAUUUUCUGCAUAAUAGUGUAAACUUCCAAAUGUCAUGAUAACACUCCAUGUGUCCAGUUUGUCUUCUAAAGAUAAAAUGCCUCGACCCAGCUGUU